CCAGCGGAGGGAUCAUUACCGAGUUUACAACUCCCAAACCCAAUGUGAACCAUACCAAACUGUUGCCUCGGCGGGGUCACGCCCCGGGCGCGUCGCAGCCCCGGAACCAGGCGCCCGCCGGAGGGACCAACCAAACUCUUUUCUGUAGUCCCCUCGCGGACGUUAUUUCUUACAGCUCUGAGCAAAAAUUCAAAAUGAAUCAAAACUUUCAACAACGGAUCUCUUGGUUCUGGCAUCGAUGAAGAACGCAGCGAAAUGCGAUAAGUAAUGUGAAUUGCAGAAUUCAGUGAAUCAUCGAAUCUUUGAACGCACAUUGCGCCCGCCAGUAUUCUGGCGGGCAUGCCUGUCCGAGCGUCAUUUCAACCCUCGAACCCCUCCGGGGGGUCGGCGUUGGGGACCUCGGGAGCCCCUAAGACGGGAUCCCGGCCCCGAAAUACAGUGGCGGUCUCGCCGCAGCCUCUCCUGCGCAGUAGUUUGCACAACUCGCACCGGGAGCGCGGCGCGUCCACGUCCGUAAAACACCCAACUUCUGAAAUGUGACCUCGAUCAGUAGAUUCCCCAG
rnacentral:rRNA from 1 species